UUACAUAUUUUCUGAAUUACAAGAGUUAUUUAUAUUUCUUGUUGCCAUGCUUAUUUACAGUACUUAUACCAGUCCAUUUUCAUUCAGUUUGAGCUGCAAGGUGAAGGAGGAAAAUGGUGUCAAGUUUGAAGACAAGCCAAAGAUGCAGUCCUGGAUUUUCCUUGGAAAAGUAUGAAGAAUGUCUGUGAAAAAAGUGACUGUGUUCAUUUGCAGUGUUUAAAGUGAAAAAAUAACAUAAAAAUGUUAAUCAUUGGAAUUGAUACUUUUUGUGGGGGUGGGAAUCUCUGUCCUGUGUAUACCAUUUCUUCCCAUUCCUCCUAUCAUAUUUCAUCCUGACCCUGCCCAUCCCAUCCCUGAUUGGUUACCCAGAUAUGAUUGGACAUAUAAGAAAUAUAGCAUAUAUUUGAAUUAAAAUAUAAAUGUAGAACAUUGCCAUGAAAUAAACAAAGAAAAGAUGUGUAUAAAUCAGUUUAAUAUGAAAUAUGUUGGUGUGAAAUCAUGUCUUAUUCAUGCAUUUGACACUUUCUAUAUUCACACUAUAUGAAGUUCAUGGUAAAAGUACACUUCUUUAUAAGUAAAUAUAUGUAUAUGACAAAAAAAGGUUGAAAACUUGAAUUUUUCGAGACAUUCAUAAUAUUAUUAUGGAUAGUGUAUUAUGUGAAGUGGAAUAAUUAUUAAUUAUGGAACCACGCUUGUACAGUUUUUUUCGGAAGUUACACUCUCGCGAUAUUUUGAAACAAUUUUUUUAAAGGUAAUUAUGUUUUUCUCUUUCUUACAUAUUUGCUGAAUUACAAGAGUAACUUAUAUUUCUUGUUGCCAUGCUUAUUUACAGUACUUAUACCAGUCCAUUUUCAUUCAGUUCGAGCUGCAAGGUGAAGGAGGAAAAUGGUGUCAAGUUUGAAGGCAAGCCAAAGAUGCAGUCCUGGAUUUUCAUUGGAAAAGUAUGAAGAAUGUCUGUGAAAAAAGUAACUAUGUUCAUUUGCAGUGUUUAAAGUGAAAAAAUAACAUAAAAAUGUUAAUCAUUGGAAUUGAUACUUUUUGUGGGGGUGGGAAACUCUGUCCUGUGUCUACCAUUUCUUCCCAUUUCUCCUAUCUUAUUUCAUUCUGAUCCUACCCAUCCCUUCCCAUCCCUGAUUGGUUAUCCAGAUAUGAUUGUACAUAUAAUAAAUAUAGCAUAUAUUUGAAUUAAAAUAUAAAUUUAGAGCAUGGCCACGAAAUAAACAGAAAAGAUGUGUAUAAAUCAAUUUAAUAUAAAAUAUGUUGGUGUGAAAUCAUGUCUUAUUCAUGCAAUUGACACUUUCUAUAUUCACACUAUAUGAAGUUCAUGGUAAAAGUACACUUCUUUAUAAGUAAAUGUAUGUAUAUGAUAAAAAAAGGUCGGAAACUUGAAAUUUUCGAGACAUUCAUAAUAUUAUUAUGGAUAGUGUAUUAUAUGAAGUGGAAUAAUAAUUAAAUCUGGAACCACGCUUGUACAGUUUUUUUCGGAAGUUACACCCUCGCGAUAUUUUGAAAAAAAAAAAUUUUAAAGGUAAUUAUGUUUUUCUCUUUCUUACAUAUUUGCUGAAUUACAAGAGUAAUUUAUAUUUCCUGUUGCCAUGCUUAUUUACAGUACUUAAACCAGUCCAUUUUCAUUCAGUUUGAGCUGCAAGGUGAAGCAGGAAAAUGGUGUCAAGUUUGAAGACAAGCCAAAGAUGCAGUCCUGGAUUUUCCUUGGAAAAUUUGAGCUGCAAGGUGAAGCAGGAAAAUGGUGUCAAGUUUGAAGACAAGCCAAAGAUGCAGUCCUGGAUUUUCCUUGGAAAAUACUUAUACCAGUCCAUUUUCAUUCAGUUCGAGCUGCAAGGUGAAGGAGGAAAAUGGUGUCAAGUUUGAAGGCAAGCCAAAGAUGCAGUCCUGGAUUUUCAUUGGAAAAGUAUGAAGAAUGUCUGUGAAAAAAGUAACUAUGUUCAUUUGCAGUGUUUAAAUUGAAAAAAAUAACAUAAAAAUGUUAAUCAUUGGAAUUGAUACUUUUUAUAGGGGUGGGAAUCUCUGUCCUGUGUAUACCAUUUCUUCCCAUUCCUCAUCUUAUUUCAUCCUGACCCUACCCAUCCCAUCCCAUCCCUGAUUGGUUAUCCAGAUAUGAUUGUAGAUAUAAUAAAUAUAGCAUAUAUUUGAAUUAAAAUAUAAAUUUAGAGCAUGGCCACGAAAUAAACAGAAAAGAUUUGUAUAAAUCAAUUUAAUAUGAAAUAUGUUGGUGUGAAAUCAUGUCUUAUUCAUGCAGUUGACACUUUCUAUAUUCACACUAUAUGAAGUUCAUGGUAAAAGUACACUUCUUUAUAAGCAAAUGUAUGUAUAUGAUAAAAAAAGGUCGAAAACUUGAAUUUUUCGAGACAUUCAUAAUAUUAUUAUGGAUAGUGUAUUAUAUGAAGUGGAAUAAUUAUUAAAUCUGGAACCACGCUUGUACAGUUUUUUUCGGAAGUUACACUCUCGCGAUAUUUUGAAAAAAAUUUUUUUUAAAGGUAAUUAUGUUUUUCUCUUUCUUACAUAUUUGCUGAAUUACAAGAGUAAUUUAUAUUUCUUGUUGCCAUGCUUAUUUACAGUACUUAUACCAGUCCAUUUUUCAUUCAGUUUGAGCUGCAAGGUGAAGCAGGAAAAUGGUGUCAAGUUUGAAGACAAGACAAAGAUGCAGUCCUGGAUUUUCCUUGGAAAAUUUGAGCUGCAAGGUGAAGCAGGAAAAUGGUGUCAAGUUUGAAGACAAGCCAAAGAUGCAGUCCUGGAUUUUCCUUGGAAAAAGGCAGAAGACAAAAGAUGUUGAAUGUGACAGCUGUAAAUGCUAGAAAUGUAAGCAGUAGGCUACAAGACUGAUUUCCAAACCAAACGAUAGGCACUGGUAUGUAUUGUUGUUUAUAAUUAUACUUGUAGUGUUGUUUAUAAAAGGUUUCAUUGAUAUGUUGACCUGUUCAACACAGGUAAAUGUCAACUUCUCCACUCAUAUUAGAGAUGGGGAAUGAUUGAUUUAAACUUUUAGUUUAGGAUUUAACAAAUAUAUUCCAUGUAACUUUUACCAUGAUUUUAGAUGUCUAAGUUCAGAAACAUUAACUCUCUUCUUAGCAGAAACACACAUGGAUGAAGAAUCAGAAGGCUUAAUCAACGGAUGGUGAAAAUUGUCACAUGCUGUAAGAAAAAUGCCAGCUGGAAAGAUAUAAUCCCUCACACCACCAGCACCAACUGGGACAGAUGGUAUCUCAACAUAUAGUAGAUUCAUGGUGUUACAUCGUAGAGCAGAUAUAGCUGGUCAAACCAUAUAAGAAUGUUGAGACAUGGAUAGUUGGUUUCCUGUGGAGAAGAAUGUAUAAUUAACACCUGCAGCCAGAGAGUUUGGAGAAAUAGAUCAGCUCAAAGAACAUUGGAGGGGUUUGAUGACAAUAUUGAUACAGGUUAUGAAGGUGAUCUACAAUAUGAUUCUACAACUGCCAAUGAACUUCGGUAGAAGAGCUGGAGGGGAGUGGAGUGAGCAGAUUGCAGUACAGUCAAACCUGUCUAUAAAGACCACCCUUGGGAGAGCCAAAUGUGGUCUUUAUUGGGAGGUGGCCAUUAUUCACAGGUUAAGAUUAUAUUGUAAAUGUUAACAUGGGAAACAAAACAUGUGUUCUUUAGAGCCAGGUGGUCUCUGUUCAGAGGUGGUCUUUAACAUGGGUUUGACUGUAUACACAUCAGUGGGAGUGGAACAGGCAGAUUUCAAUACAUACUACAUCAGUGGGAAAAGUGCAAUGAAGUUCAGCUGUUUCCAGCUUGAAACACAUGAGGUUGAAGUUGCAAGACUGAUGGAAAAUGACAGUGACUGGACAGACAAUGAUGAUGGUGAAGAACUAUAGAAAACUUGGGAAAACUUUUAAUAGUGGUCAUCAACAAGCAGUCAUUGAAUCCAGUAUUCCAGCCAAUGUAUCGCUCUUGUAGAGGUUGAAGUUGCAAGACUGAUGGAAAAUGACAGUGACUGGAUAGACAAUGAUGAUGGUGAAGAACUAUAGAAAACUUGGGAAAACUUUUAAUAGUGGCCAUCAACAAGCAGUCAUUGAUUCCAGUAUUCCAGCCAAUGUAUCCUGUUAACUUUAAAGCAGGACUUGCACUGUCAUGUGGGGGGAAAAACAUGAAAUGGAGACGAUCACUUACCAGCGCACACAGUUGACUUGUGAAGAAAUUUCUUAUCAGUCAGGAAUUGGCCAAAAAGGAUGUUGAUACUGAUACAACUUCCUCGUAGCAACUUCAGUCCUACAGAUUUAUAAGGGGAGGCAACAUUUAUCACUAUUGACCUGGAAACCAUUGACCUAAUUCAAUAUGGGAAGAUGCACUAGAGGCACAAAGGAUCACCAGGAUAAAAAGCACAAUAGUCCAACACAUCUGUACCUGGAAUUAAGUCGACUGUAGAGAAAUUGCGAACUUGGCUUGAAAAGAUCCUAAAGUGAUUUUGGUAGCCCGUUAUGGAAGACAGUUUGAUUUUCCAGUUCUUGUCUCAGCUCUGCUGUGCACAAAUAUAACUAGGACAUUAUUCAGCUGAGUUUCUUCUAAAAAGUAUUCGUUUACCAGUGUUCAAGAAACUGUACCCUAAACAAUCAUACUUGCUAUGACACUACUUGGCAUCCGGUACAAUGCCUAUAACUGACAGACAGACAAAUUUAUUAUGAAAAACUGGGAAGGGUUUUCAUAUGUUAAAGAACAAUUUCAAGCAAUGACGUAUACACAUAAAUUUGGUAACAUAAUGUUCAUAUCUUAAGUAAAAAAUGACAAUAAUUAUUGUAAUUGGAAAUUCGAGUUGUGUUAUUUUACUCUAUAUUUAAGAAAAUUAAUAUAUUCAAACUUGUAAGUUUUUUCAUUUGUUAAAAUGUUAUAUUAUAGCUUUAAGCCCUAAUGCCCUCUUUUUACAAUCUGCCUAAAGAAACACUAGUUGUUCUUGUUUAUUAUUUAGCCAUUUCCUUAAUGAAAAAUACACAACAAACUUCUAGCUCAAGACUUUCCAAGGUUGACAAGUUAUUACUUUCUUUGAUUUUGCUUAAGUUUGUUAAUUAUUGUUAAAUACUUUUUUUCAGAAUUUAUUAAGGUGUAUAGUGCUACCUUUUAACAGUAAAGUUACAAGGAGAAGACAACCUGUACUGUAAGCUAAUGUAGCUUUCUGUCCAAUUUCUGAAAUGUUUUUUGUAAAUAUAUCAUGACUUUCUGAAUAAAACUUUAAAUAAAGUAUAUAAACCUUUAAGGAGCAAGAAGACAAAAUCUCAUUUCAACUCGUGUAUAAAAUUAACUUUGUGAUAUUUUUCUUAGUGAUAAGUUUCUCAGUGAUAACUAGACAUUUAAUUUUAUAUCUGUAUAGAUUUUUGUACAGUUAAUUCAAAUGUAUACAUGUACAAGACAAUAUUUAUAAAGAUUUUUUUAUGUUUAAUUAUUUAUAUUAGAGAAAACUGUUAAAUUUUAAUUACUUUAUAAGUGUACAUGUAAAUCCUAUUUCACUAUACUUACAUAUUAUUGAAAGCUAAGGGACUUCAUUGGAUAUAAGUGAAAUUGUUACUUUCAUGGUUUAUCCCAGGCAGAAAGAUCAUCAUUUUUAUGCCCCCAAAGGGAGGCAUAUUAGUUUUCAACUGUCCGUCCGUUAGUUCUUUAGUUCGUUCGUUCGUCACAACGUUAACUUUUUGCAUGAAGGCACUUUACUGGUGAACCACUGCACCCAGGACCUUCAAACUACACAUGCUAAUAGUACUUACUGAGUACACUACCCCUACUGACAUUGGAGUCACCAGGACAAAGGUCAAGGCGCUGCGGGGGCAUUUGUCACCAUUAGUGACAGCUCUUGUUUUCCUGAUAUUUUUGUAUUAGCUUGAUUAAACUUGUAAAGUACAAACAUAUAAGGGUUUACAGCAUAUUUAUUAAUUCUAAAAAAUUUUAAUUUCUGUACCACUUUGUAUUUCUGUUAUAAUUGGAUCUUAUAUCUAAAUAAAAUUUAACUGAACUGAACUGAAUUCUAAACUGGAACCAAACUGAACUGAACUGAGUUUGUAACAGAAACUGAACUGAAUUUUGGACUGUUACUGAAUGAACUGAAUUCUGAACUGGAACUAAACUGAACUGAACUGAAUUUGAAACAGAAACUGAACUGAAUGUUUAACAGAAACUGAACUGAAUUUUAAACUGAAACUGAACUGAAUAUAGCUGGGUAAAAAUCUACAGUACUGCUUGCAUUAAAAGACCACCAAAGGGAGGAAAAACAUGUUCUCUUUGUGCAACAUAGUUUGUUCUUUGAUAACAUAAAAAAGAAACUGAAAAACUGGUCUCUUAAUGCAAGUAGUCUCUAAAUCAAAUGUACUUGAUUAAACUUAUUAUGCUUUUGUAAUGUAGUUUUGUUGUGUCUAUGAUGAU